UUGCAAGAAUAAAACAAAUUGGCUGAUUUCACAUAGAAGAUAUUAGUAAGAGGCAUAGCUUGUUAUUUUUCUUCAGAUAUUGCUUCAGGUGUAUCAGAAUUUUUGUAUACAUUUAUCGCAAACAGUAAUAAAAUGGCUGCCUGUGUUGUUUAAAUAACGAGAAUGGCGUCAACGACACCGAUAAGCACAUUAAGUUUUCAUCGAAGCGACUAACGAGCGCUGCUAACAUCGAGUCAGUAUAAAUUUAGGCAAGCUCAUUGGAAAACUGUAUCAAGAUGAACUAGUUCAAUGUUUUUUGCGCUGAAAGUAUGCACACUCAAAUAUUUUCGAUAUUUCAUGGCAGAAUAACAAAGAAAAAAAGACGAUGACGUGAGCGUUGUUUAACCAGCAAAACUUAGAGAUAAGCGUACAAGGACUCAUAGAGAUUAUCAGCCCCAGCCUGCGACUCACAUCCUGUUUCCAUCGCGAGACAAACUGCGACACACCCACUGUUCCGAGAACGUCGAACUUCGCCACCAAUUUCCAGUCGAAUCGAAAGCAACGCGUGUGGGAUAUUCGCGAGAUCGUGUAGUUUCCACACUUCUAUUCACAACUGUACAAUUACUCUCUAGUCAAGAGUGGGAAACGAAACGUAUCGACGUCGAAAUCGUCGACGAUUCGACACUGAUAAUAUCGCAGACCUCGCGAAAUUUUCAACUAACGUCCGUGUAAAUACUUUAUACACGUUCGCCUUUCAAUAAUCGCAUGCAACACCAACGAUACAUUCCUUUCUAUUUGUUUAUCUCUGUCCGAUACUCUCCCCUGGGCGAUGUAAAAUCACGAUAUAGCGAACAAACUGUCACGUGCUUAUCGAAUCGGCGAGAUUUGCGCACGUGAACCUGUGAUGAUCGGCAAAACGGUACUGAUUGUCAAUCAAGUUCUCGGCAAAGCGACCGGCUUCGAAGCCGGAGAAUAGAAGCCUGGAGGAGGCAAGCUGGUCUGGAGAAGGAGAAGGAACAGGAGAUGGAGGGAGUAUUCUCACAACAAGGGAAGUAGAAACUCGAGGCUGGUUCACGAAGACAAGGAAAACCAACCUAGCCAGUUAUGAAGAAAUGGUUCGCGGGUAGAACCUGAACUAGACAGCUACUUCUGAAUCGGAUGGAUGUACUCUUUCGCGGAAAUUGAAAUGUUCCUUGAAUUGGACCGUCGAUAUUGUAACUUAAAGAUCUAGUUCGUGUUGACUUUGAAUCAAUAUAACAACGCGUUUGAAUGAAAUUCGUGGUUGGCAGGAAGCCUACCGAGCUCCCCGGAUCUAUUUUAUACUGCUGAAUCAUACAGUCAAUUUGGACAUUAAUAUUGCGCGAUAUGCGUAACGCACUUUCGUCAUAAAUUUCAGUGAAAUUGGACAAGUACGAUAAUGACUUUAGACACUUAAUAAAUCAUAUAGAAGUAUUACAGUCGCAGCGUGCGUGUCGUUGGAUCGUUGCCAAACGAGCCGGUGUAAUCGGCGAUACAGGUCUCGUAAUGUCGGUCAUAGUCAUAUCACUGUGUUUUCAACGACAUGACACUAAA
rnacentral:lncRNA from 1 species